GCUAAGUUCGGACAGGAUAACCGCUGAAAGCAUCUAAGCGGGAAGCCCCCUUCAAGAUUAGGUCUCAUUUGAGAGGCGUUGGAGACGACGACGUUGAUAGGCCGGAUGUGGAAGCGCAGCAAUGUGUGAAGCUAACCGGUACUAAUUCCUCAAUGUAUUCAACAAC
rnacentral:rRNA from 1 species